rnacentral:rRNA from 1 species
CAAUAGCUUUUAUUAAAGCUGCUGCGGUUAAAAAGCUCGUAGUUGGAUUUCUGCCGAGGACGACCGGUCCGCCCUCUGGGUGAGUAUCUGGCUCGGCCUCUGCAUCUUCUUGGAGAACGUAGCUGCACUUGACUGUGUGGUGCGGUACCCAGGAUUUGUACUUUGAAGAAAUUAGGGUGUUUCAACCAGGCUCACGCCUUGAAUACUUUAGCAUGGAAUGAUAAGAUAGGACCUCAGUUCUAUUUUGUUGGCUUCUAGAGCUGAGGUAAUGAUCAACAGGGAUAGUCGGGGGGCAUUUGUAUUUAAUUGUCAGAAGUGAGAUUCUUGGAUUCGUUAAAGACGGACUGCUGCGCAAGCAUUUGCCAAGGAUGUUUUCAGUAACCAAGAACGAAAGUUAUGGGAUCGAAGAUGAUUAGAUACCAU